UAGUAACAACCAUUUGAGUCUGGGAUUUCUGAAUGGGGAAACCCACGUGCAUAAGCACGUAUCCUUACCUGAAUACAUAGGGUAAGGAGGCGAACCGGGGGAACUGAAACAUCUAAGUACCCCGAGGAAAAGAAAUCAACCGAGAUUCCGAAAGUAGCGGCGAGCGAAAUUGGACUAGCCCUUAAGCUUUACACGCGUUAGACGAACGGUCUGGAAAGUCCGACGAUACAGGGUGAUAGUCCCGUAGUUGACGACGUGUGUUCAGUGAAAUCGAGUAGGGCGGGACACGUGAUAUCCUGUCUGAAUAUGGGGGGACCAUCCUCCAAGGCUAAAUACUACUGACUGACCGAUAGUGAACCAGUACCGUGAGGGAAAGGCGAAAAGAACCCCUGUGAGGGGAGUGAAAUAGAACCUGAAACCGUGUACGUACAAGCAGUAGGAGCAGGCUUUGUCCUGUGACUGCGUACCUUUUGUAUAAUGGGUCAGCGACUUAUAUUCAGUGGCAAGGUUAACCAUCUAGGGGAGCCGUAGGGAAACCGAGUCUUAACUGGGCGUUCAGUCUCUGGAUAUAGACCCGAAACCAGGUGAUCUAGCCAUGGGCAGGUUGAAGGUUGAGUAACAUCAACUGGAGGACCGAACCGACUAAUGUUGAAAAAUUAGCGGAUGACUUGUGGCUAGGGGUGAAAGGCCAAUCAAACCUGGAGAUAGCUGGUUCUCCCCGAAAGCUAUUUAGGUAGCGCCUCGGACGAAUACUACUGGGGGUAGAGCACUGUUAAGGCUAGGGGGUCAUCCCGACUUACCAACCCUUUGCAAACUCCGAAUACCAGUAAGUACUAUCCGGGAGACACACGGCGGGUGCUAACGUCCGUCGUGGAGAGGGAAACAACCCAGACCGCCAGCUAAGGUCCCAAAUUACUACUAAGUGGGAAACGAUGUGGGAAGGCUCAGACAGCCAGGAUGUUGGCUUAGAAGCAGCCAUCAUUUAAAGAAAGCGUAAUAGCUCACUGGUCGAGUCGGCCUGCGCGGAAGAUGUAACGGGGCUAAGUAGUAAACCGAAGCUGCGGCAAUGUGCUUUUGCACAUUGGGUAGGGGAGCGUUCUGUAAGCGGUUGAAGGUGUGUGGUAACGCAUGCUGGACGUAUCAGAAGUGCGAAUGCUGACAUGAGUAACGAUAAAGGGGGUGAAAAACCUCCUCGCCGGAAGACCAAGGGUUCCUGUCCAACGUUAAUCGGGGCAGGGUAAGUCGACCCCUAAGGCGAGGCCGAAAGGCGUAGUCGAUGGGAAACGGGUUAAUAUUCCCGUACUUCUUACAAUUGCGAUGGGGGGACGGAGAAGGCUAGGUGGGCCUGGCGACGGUUGUCCAGGUUCAAGUGCGUAGGCUUAAGAGUUAGGUAAAUCCGGCUCUUUUUAAGGCUGAGACACGACGUCGAGCAUCUACGGAUGUGAAGUCAUUGAUGCCAUGCUUCCAGGAAAAGCCUCUAAGCUUCAGAUUGUAAGGAAUCGUACCCCAAACCGACACAGGUGGUCGGGUAGAGAAUACCAAGGCGCUUGAGAGAACUCGGGUGAAGGAACUAGGCAAAAUGGUACCGUAACUUCGGGAGAAGGUACGCUCUCGACGGUGAAGUCCCUCGCGGAUGGAGCUAUUGAGAGUCGCAGAUACCAGGUGGCUGCAACUGUUUAUUAAAAACACAGCACUGUGCAAAAUCGUAAGAUGACGUAUACGGUGUGACGCCUGCCCGGUGCCGGAAGGUUAAUUGAUGGGGUUAGACUUCGGUCGAAGCUCUUGAUCGAAGCCCCGGUAAACGGCGGCCGUAACUAUAACGGUCCUAAGGUAGCGAAAUUCCUUGUCGGGUAAGUUCCGACCUGCACGAAUGGCGUAAUGAUGGCCACGCUGUCUCCACCCGAGACUCAGUGAAAUUGAAAUCGCUGUGAAGAUGCAGUGUACCCGCGGCUAGACGGAAAGACCCCGUGAACCUUUACUACAGCUUGGCACUGAACAUUGACCCUACAUGUGUAGGAUAGGUGGGAGGCUUUGAAGCACGUACGCCAGUAUGUGUGGAGCCGUCCUUGAAAUACCACCCUUGUAGUGUUGAUGUUCUAACGUCGACCCCUUAUCGGGGUUGCGGACAGUGCCUGGUGGGUAGUUUGACUGGGGCGGUCUCCUCCCAAAGAGUAACGGAGGAGCACGAAGGUGGGCUAAUCACGGUUGGACAUCGUGAGGUUAGUGCAAUGGCAUAAGCCCGCUUGACUGCGAGAAUGACAAUUCGAGCAGGUGCGAAAGCAGGUCAUAGUGAUCCGGUGGUUCUGAAUGGAAGGGCCAUCGCUCAACGGAUAAAAGGUACUCCGGGGAUAACAGGCUGAUACCGCCCAAGAGUUCAUAUCGACGGCGGUGUUUGGCACCUCGAUGUCGGCUCAUCACAUCCUGGGGCUGAAGUCGGUCCCAAGGGUAUGGCUGUUCGCCAUUUAAAGUGGUACGCGAGCUGGGUUUAGAACGUCGUGAGACAGUUCGGUCCCUAUCUGCCGUGGGCGUUGGAAGAUUGAAGGGGGCUGCUCCUAGUACGAGAGGACCGGAGUGGACGAACCUCUGGUGUUCGGGUUGUGUCGCCAGACGCAUUGCCCGGUAGCUAAGUUCGGAAUCGAUAACCGCUGAAAGCAUCUAAGCGGGAAGCGAGCCCUGAGAUGAGUCUUCCCUGAUACUUUAAGUAUCCUAAAGGGUUGUCGGAGACUACGACGUUGAUAGGUCAGGUGUGUAAGUGCUGUGAGGCAUUGAGCUAACUGAUACUAAUUGCCCGUGAGGCUUAACCAUACAACACCCAAGGGGUUU
rnacentral:rRNA from 1 species